AUUGAACGCUGGCGGCAGGCUUAACACAUGCAAGUCGAGCGGAGCGAGGGUGCUUGCACCUUAGCUUAGCGGCGGACGGGUGAGUAAUGCUUAGGAAUCUGCCUAUUAGUGGGGGACAACAUUCCGAAAGGAAUGCUAAUACCGCAUACGCUCUACGGGGGAAAGCAGGGGAUCUUCGGACCUUGCGCUAAUAGAUGAGCCUAAGUCGGAUUAGUUAGUUGGUGGGGUAAAGGCCUACCAAGGCGACGAUCUGUAGCGGGUCUGGGAGGAUGGUCCGCGACACUGGGACUGAGACACGGCCCAGACUCCUACGGGAGGCAGCAGUGGGGAAUAUUGGACAAUGGGCGGAAGCCUGAUCCAGCCAUGCCGCGUGUGUGAAGAAGGCCUUUUGGUUGUAAAGCACUUUAAGCGAGGAGGAGGCUACUUAGAUUAAUACUCUAGGAUAGUGGACGUUACUCGCAGAAUAAGCACCGGCUAACUCUGUGCCAGCAGCCGCCGUAACAC
rnacentral:rRNA from 1 species